UACAGAGGUCUCAAGCGUUGUUCGGAUUCAUCGGGCGUAAAGGGUGCGUAGGCGGCGCGGUAAGUCGGGUGUGAAAUCUCGGAGCUUAACUCCGAAACUGCAUUCGAUACUGCCGUGCUUGAGGACUGGAGAGGAGACUGGAAUUUACGGUGUAGCGGUGAAAUGCGUAGAUAUCGUAAGGAAGACCAGUGGCGAAGGCGGGUCUCUGGACAGUUCCUGACGCUGAGGCACGAAGGCCAGGGGAGCAAACGGG
rnacentral:rRNA from 1 species